rnacentral:rRNA from 1 species
ACGGUUUGUGGUGGAAAGUCUUUGCGGUGUGGGAUGGGCCCGCGGCCUAUCAGCUUGUUGGUGGGGUAAUGGCCUACCAAGGCGACGACGGGUAGCCGGCCUGAGAGGGUGUCCGGCCACACUGGGACUGAGAUACGGCCCAGACUCCUACGGGAGGCAGCAGUGGGGAAUAUUGCACAAUGGGCGCAAGCCUGAUGCAGCGACGCCGCGUGAGGGAUGACGGCCUUCGGGUUGUAAACCUCUUUCAAUAGGGACGAAGCGCAAGUGACGGUACCUAUAGAAGAAGCACCGGCCAACUACGUG